CCAAUUUUUCCAUACCUGACAACAAAAGCAGUAGGGAGCGAAAUGGGAUAUAUAGACUCUGAAUAUGUAUCUCUGUAGCAAUCAAUUGUGAAGUAUCGAGCACAGUAAUUAUAUGGAUUGAGGUCCAGGCUACCAAUGACUGCAAUGGCAUACAACAAAGCAAUCCAAAUUGCUAUCGACCGUCAUAUGAUUAUUCUCCCCUCUCGACCCAUUUUCAAAUUGUUGUCGUCCUCUCAUCCUUUCAAACAUGGGAGAAGACCUUAAUCAUCGUUGCCCACCUUAUCAUCACCCACCACCUUACAAUCAAACCAUUGUCACCAUUGUGACCACCACCUUCAAACACACACCAAAGUCUACUAGAGAGAAUUAUUGAAUAAACAUGUAAGAAGAUUAAGCUGCCUUUUCGAACAGUACACAAUCAGAUCAAAGUCGAGAGUCGAAUUAGAAAAUUUGCCAUAGCUAGCUUUUUAAGCAUACUCACUUUCUUGUUUCGGCUUCUGUAUUCUGAUGGGCAAUUUGGACAAAUUUUCGUCGGCUUCUUACUUCGAUCGAGAUGGAGGAGUGCUGGACAUCGAACAAAGUUUUCACCUCCAAGUGUUUUGCUCUAGUUUGGGGGGAAAAUGAAAAUGGAUAGCUGUUGCACGAUUUCACCGGAGGCGAUGAACGGAUUCUAAUCGAAUGAUUUUGUCGGAGGCGAUGGACGAAUUCCGAUCGAAAUGGAUGAGUGCAAGACUUUGGGGGUACUUUUAAGUUU
rnacentral:lncRNA from 1 species